AAAUUUGAAAGCUUGCUUCUGAGUGGUCAAAUCAAAAAGGCAAGGAUUGGCUUUUGUCAUUCAUCCGCCGUUGAUAUUAAUAAAUCUAACAGCCACAGUUUAAUCAGAUUCUUUUUUCUUCCUCUUCUGUGCUUUCUCCUUUGUCAGUUUCACACAUCGAACCUUUUUAUUCUCUUCAUCUUCUUCUUGAAACCUUGUCGCAUUCUUUUCUUUUUCUUUUUUUUUCCUCUUCCAUUUCUCUUAGUCUUUGUUAUUUUUCUUCAUCUCCUUAUGCUAUUCUAAUUGAUUUUUGUUUUGUUUACAGAUCUGAGAAAAAGGAGCAGCUAUAAGACGGGAAGAAGAAGUGGUGGUCUGACAGAGCAGACGCGCCAGAGAUGGAGGUGGUCUAACGAAUCGAAGGAACUGUAGAGGCUGUAUGUAUUAGACCAACACCGGUGGCUCCACGACCAGAUCGAGUCGUGGCUUCAGUUGGAACCACUCCAAGUCGUCGCUUCAGAUGGAACUUCGAGUCGUCGUGGAGCCGUGCAACUGGAGCCGGUGGAGAAGCUGGUGGGAGUCCGAGAUGUUGAUGGUGUAUUUGUGUUUAUAUAUGUGUAUUUAUCUUUGUAAUUUGACUUUUUAAUUAUAUUUAAAUUAAUAUUAAAUUUUGAUUCUGAAACUUUUUAAAAUUAUUAAUUAUUUUUUAUAAUUUAGGGGAUUCAAACUAAUAAUUUAUUAACCAUUAAUUUGUUAAAAUAUAAAUAAUAUUGUUGAUAUAUAAUCAUAAAUACUUGUGACUAAUUUGUAACUAUAUAUAAAUAUUGUAGUCACUAAUAUUAGCAACUAACUUAUAACCAAAUUAGAAUUGAGACUAAUUAGCAACUACUUUUUCAAGACUAAUGCGUAUCGAAAAAAAGUAGUCUUAAAUUUUGUCCAACUACGACGAUAGUUACAAAUAUGUCGCUAGUUUACUACUGAUUACGUAGUUUCACCGUAGUUGCUCUUUUGCAACUAAUUUGCAACCAAUUUUUUUUGCGACGAAGUUUUUUUAACUACAUCUAGUAGUUGCAAAAUAGUUACAUUUUCGAUAUUUGCAACUAUCUUGUAACCAUUGUUGCAGUUGUAAAAUUGAUGUUUUCUUGUAGU
rnacentral:lncRNA from 1 species